UGUUUCAUUUAUUCAGUUCUCCUUAUAAUGCUCCAUUUACUCAUUUACUCAUAUGCUCCUGUUAAGAAAGGCUUAGAAAGCACAUAGUGUUCACAUAUCUUUAUGUUUUGUCUUUGCUUCUUCUCACACACAUACACAUGAGCCCUGCAGUAUUCGCUGACUCCUGUGAAAGUCUCUUGCAGACACCCUUGGAAACAGGACCCAACUGGCUUCUGUUUUCCUCGAGAUAGACAAUACACUCACACACACACACACACACACUGUGUCCCAUACAUGCCCAGAUUGUCUGUUACAGCCUGACAAAACAGGGAAUGCUACGAAGUAUAAAUAAAGCUGACUGCAAAGCCUCGGCGUGAGUAUCACCCGAUCACUCACCCGUGCGCACGUAGUUCUCUGAACAAAACUCUGACUGUUUCUGUAUUCUUUCAAUGUUUAAAAAUGUCUUGCCACUGACAUUUAAUUGGUCCUUCGAGCCGGAUAGUUUAUUGAUAUUAUUGUAUCAUCUAACUAUUCACAGACGGAGCCACCAGAUCCUGACGUCGUGACUACCUGCACUGCAACCACCGUUUCUAGCGAAGCGAGGAAAAGCCCAGAGGUGUACAUUCGCCUACUGGCCAGUGUCUUAUACAGGUCCACGACGCCAGGUUCUCGGUGACGCCGGGAAAAAGAACACAGCGCAACAUUGAAGUCUCUUCCAGGUUGAAACCAGGAGAUUGGAUCCUGAUAAAAGUGCUCCAGAGGAAAAAGUGGAGCUCCCCGAGGUGGGAAGGACCCUACCAAGUCCUCCUGGCCACACCAACAGCCUGCAAAAUUGCUGAACGACCUUCCUGGAUUCAUCAGAGCCACUGUAAAAAAGUGAGUGACAGUCCACACUGAGACGCCAGCACCCCUGCCUGUUAGUGAUCUGGGAGGUGGAGAGAGGGCUGUUUGGGUAAAUCCCGCCCUUGUUCUUCUCGCCCCUAGUCUACUCACUCACAGGACCAGGUGUGUUCGGUCAUCAUGAAGACCCUACUCGUUCUGGUGGCCAGUGUCACAAUUCUGUUGGGACUGCUGUCGCUGAUUUCAGAAGAAGAAGGACAAGAUUGACACAUGACACAAUACAUCCAGACGACAUGACACAAGAUCACAACCACCCAUGGAUGAACAAUGCCUGGUACCGUUAUGUGUAAAACUCCACAAGAGACAGAAACUAUUACAUCUGUUCGCACAUGCCUCUUAAUGCAAAACACCUGAUAAUGUGCAUUCCACCAACUUGUCUGA